ensembl:lncRNA
UCAAAAUUGAAGAAAACGUGUUGCAUUGUGUCGGAAAUGUUGGCUAAAGUGGAAAUUGGAGGGGUCCUAAAAUACGUGAAAAUUCCAGAGACUGAUGGAUUUUUUCAAUUUGAUAUGUUCCUUCAAGAAGUGAACGACAAGUUUAGUCUGCACCCAGACAGCUUCAGCGAGGGCCAGUUCACCAUCACAGAUAUGUCAGGAACAGAGGUGGAUGGAGAUAUCUUUGAUGAGGUUGUCAAGUCGGGUGUCCUGACCUUCAAGGUCCCUUUACCAGUAAUGGAUCUGGAUGUUGAGCUGGUUGCAGAUCAAGCAUCCUCCUCUGUAUUGACAUCGCUGUCCCCAACUUCAUCCCAUUCAUCCUUGGUAGUGGCACAGACUGCACUAUCCCCAGCUUUAUCCCAUUCAUCUGAUUCCACCGUUAUUCUGGAGUCCACAAGAAAAAGGAGGAACCCAACAGGGUUAAUGGACCAGAAUGAAGCAAAACAGAUGGUUGAGGGUGUUCUGAGGGCCAAUCCAAAGGGUGAAGAAGUCUUUAAUGAGUAUGAUAAGACUAAAACACUAACUGAUGCAACCCGUAAACAAAUGGUGAACAUCCUGGUUGCAGAUAUGAUAGAGCUACAUGGGUAAGAAUUGCAGGUCACUUGGUUAUGUCAUGUGUUGUAGCUAAAUAAUGCUGUUCUGUAUAAGUGGUAAGGGUGUAUUUAUUCUUACAAAACAUACAUGCUUAAAAGUAAACUAUGACUUAUUUUUAAAGGAGGGUUCCACCGUCAAGUGUAAGGACCAAUUAUGCACUGGGAAUUGUGACUCUUUUUCCAUACCUCCGUGAUCCAUUCUCCAAACUUGGAUAUGAACACUACUAUGAUCCUGAGGGUAAUACUGGC